UUGGCGGCAAAUUGACACCGUAACUUCGGGAUAAGGUGUGCCACUGAGGGUGAAGAGCCUUGCGCUCGUAAGCCUUCGGGGGUUGCAACAAAGAGGCGGUAGCGACUGUUUACCAAAAACACAGGCCUGUGCGAAGCCGUAAGGCGACGUAUACGGGUUGACGCCUGCCCGGUGCCGGAAGGUUAAGGGGAGUGGUCAGCGAAAGCGAAGCUGCGAACCGAAGCCCCGGUAAACGGCGGCCGUAACAAUAACGGUCCUAAGGUAGCGAAAUUCCUUGUCGGGUAAGUUCCGACCUGCACGAAUGGCGUAACGACUUCCGCGCUGUCUCGAUCACGGUCUCAGCGAAAUUGACAUUGGGGUGAAGAUGCCCCAUACCCGCAGCAAGACGGAAAGACCCUGUGAACCUUUACUCUAACUUGGCAGCGACAUUCGGUUCAGCUUGUGUAGGAUAGGUGGGAGACGAUGAAGCGGGGGCGCCAGCCUUCGUGGAGUCAACGUUGAAAUACCACCCUGGUUGUGCUGGAUGUCUAACCCGGCCCUUGUGGCGGGGACACUGCCUGGCGGGGAGUUUGACUGGGGCGGUCGCCUCCCAAACAGUAACGGAGGCGCGCAAAGAUUCCCUCAGCGUGAUCGGAAACCACGCGCAGAGUGCAAAGGCAGAAGGGAGUUUGACUGCAAGAUCGACAGAUCGAGCAGGUGCGAAAGCAGGCCUUAGUGAUCCGGCGGUCCCACAUGGGAGGGCCGUCGCUCAUCGGAUAAAAGGUACUCCGGGGAUAACAGGCUUAUCACGCCCAAGAGUUCACAUCGACGGCGUGGUUUGGCACCUCGAUGUCGGCUCAUCGCAUCCUGGGGCUGGAGCAGGUCCCAAGGGUUUGGCUGUUCGCCAGUUAAAGCGGUACGCGAGCUGGGUUCAAAACGUCGUGAGACAGUUUGGUCCCUAUCUGCUGUGGGCGCAGGAGAGUUGAGAGACGCUGUCCUUAGUACGAGAGGACCGGGAUGGACGUUCCUCUGGUGUUCCGGUUGUCGCGCCAGCGGCAUAGCCGGAUAACCAUGAACGGAAGGGAUAACCGCUGAAAGCAUCUAAGUGGGAAGCCCAUCUCCAGAUAAACUCUCCCUUGAGGGCCCAGAAAGACCAUCUGGUUGAUAGGCGGGGCGUAUAAACGCAGCAAUGCGUGCGCGGACCCGUACUAAUCGCCCGAACGACUUGACCCC
rnacentral:rRNA from 1 species